rnacentral:rRNA from 1 species
CCUACGGGAGGCAGCAGUGGGGAAUAUUGCACAAUGGGGGAAACCCUGAUGCAGCCACGCCGCGUGAGUGAAGAAGUAUCUCGGUAUGUAAAGCUCUAUCAGCAGGGAAGAGAAUGACGGUACCUGACUAAGAAGCCCCGGCUAACUACGUGCCAGCAGCCGCGGUACUACGUAGGGGGCCAGCGUUAUCCGGAUUUACUGGGGGGAAAGGGAGCGUAGACGGCUGGCCAAGUCUGAAGUGAAAGCCCGGGGCUUAACCCCGGAACGGCUUUGGAAACUGGCCGGCUGGAGUGCUGGAGAGGCAGGCGGAAUGCCUGGUGUAGCGGUGAAAUGCGUAGAUAUCAGGAGGAACACCGAUGGCGAAGGCGGCAUGCUGGACAGUAACUGACGCUGAGGCUCGAAAGCGUGGGGAGCAAACAGGAUUAGAUACCCGAGUAGUC